rnacentral:rRNA from 1 species
UACGAAGGGGGAUAGCGUUGGUCGGAAUUACUGGGCGUAUCGCGCACGUAGGCGGACUCUUAAGUCAGGGGUGAAGUCGCGGGGCUCAACCUCGGUACUGCCUUUGAUACUGUGAGUCUCGAGACCGGAAGAGGUGAGUGGAAUUCCUAGUGUAGAGGUGAAAUUCGUAGAUAUUAGGAAGAACACCAGUGGCGAAGGCGGCUCACUGUCCCGUUUCUCACGCUGAUGUGCGAAAGCGUGUUGAGCAAACAGG